AUACGGAGGAUGCAAGCGUUAUCCGGAUUUAUUGGGUUUAAAGGGUGCGUAGGCGGAUGAUUAAGCGUGAGGUGAAAUGCCACUGCUCAACAGUGGAACUGCCUCGCGAACUGGUUGUCUUGAAUGCUCCUGCCGUGGGAGGAAUGUGUGGUGUAGCGGUGAAAUGCAUAGAGAUCACACAGAACACCGAUUGCGGAGGCAUCUCACGAAGGGGUGAUUGACGCUGAGGCACGAAAGCGUGGGGAUCAAACAGGAUUAGAUACCCUGGUAGUCCACGCAGUAAACGAUGAUGGCUAACCGCUGGUUUUUUCGGAUCAGUGGCCAAGCGAAAGCGAUAAGCCAUCCACCUGGGGAGUACGACCGCAAGGUUGAAACUCAAAGGAAUUGACGGGG
rnacentral:rRNA from 1 species